UAAAGGAUGAAAGAAUUUAUUUUAGCU
rnacentral:piRNA from 1 species